rnacentral:tRNA from 1 species
GCGCCGGUAGCUCAACUGGAUAGAGCACUUGACUACGGAUCAAGAGGUUACGAGUUCAAAUCUUGUUCGGCGCGCCA